GAUGAACGCUGGCGGCGUGCCUAAUACAUGCAAGUCGAGCGAACAGAUGAGGAGCUUGCUCCUCUGACGUUAGCGGCGGACGGGUGAGUAACACGUGGAUAACCUACCUAUAAGACUGGGAUAACUUCGGGAAACCGGAGCUACUACCGGAUAAUAUAUUGAACCGCAUGGUUCAAUAGUGAAAGACGGUUUUGCUGUCACUUAUAGAUGGAUCCGCGCCGCAUUAGCUAGUUGGUAAGGUAACGGCUUACCAAGGCAACGAUGCGUAGCCGACCUGAGAGGGUGAUCGGCCACAAUGGAACUGAGACACGGUCCAGACUCCUACGGGAGGCAGCAGUAGGGAAUCUUCCGCAAUGGGCGAAAGCCUGACGGAACAACGCCGCGUGAGUGAUGAAGGUCUUCGGAUCGUAAAACUCUGUGAUUAGGGAAGAACAAAUGUGUAAGUAACUAUGCACGUCUUGACGGUACCUAAUCAGAAAGCCACGGCUAACUACGUG
rnacentral:rRNA from 1 species